rnacentral:snRNA from 1 species
AUUGUUGACGAAAAAAACAUGAA